UCUGAUGGUGUGAUUCACCGGCGCAGCUUCUGGCGGCGCUUCGCUCACACCUUUAGCUGAAUGGUCAAGGCAGCCUCGCCUCAGUGCGUGUGUGAGCACAGCGAGGGUCGUUCUUCUCAGUUCUUUUCGUCAGUGGUGGUUUUCUCGUGUGGUGUAGAUGUAGAUGGAGGGUCGUCUGUUGGAUCCGGGACCUUCCUGCAGUGGCUGGAGUGGAUCCAAGUCGCUCUUUCUGCGAUCUUCACAGCCGUGUUGGUCGUCAGAAGGACUUGGAAGGGACCUUGCCACCGCUUUGAGUUCCAGUGCUUCCUGCGAAGCUCCUUAAUGAUCACCCAGUCUCCUGGUUGAAUGAUUUGCAGUGGUUCUUGUUGGAAAAAUACUGCAUUUAAUCAUUGAAACAUUGUUGGAAUUUAUUUUGCUGAUGUGCUCAAGCCUUGUUGGCUGUGCUAUAGCCUUGAAGUUUUCUCCCUUCUGCUCUGCAAGAAAUAGGGAGUACUGGUGUGUAGCAUCCUUAUCUGAUGAGCCCAAUGCUUGCUUUGUGUAGAGAAUAUUUCCUACGUACUGUGUGACUAUGCACCUCCCAGAAUGCAAUACAUAUUAUGAGCUGAAUCCUUGUCUUCUCUUCAGUGAGAGGAAGUUGCCUUUGCUGUAAACUGCUCACUCCUUGCAAGUAAAAUCCUGAAGAAGGUCCCAACCGAUUGUGUCUGCUUUAUUUAAGAUUUACAAAGGGAACUAACAAUUUCCCUAACAUAACUGGGGGCUCGUCCGGGAUCCCAAGAUCCUCUCUUUGCCGGGACAUCGAGUCGCUGACUGAAGUCUGUGCACAGCCAGGUUUGGAACCUGCAGAAAAUCCUGGGAGGUGAAUUCCUGCCCAGGUCAGACGUCGGCUGGUGGUCCAACGAGGAGAGGUGACGGGAUCCUGAACCAGGGCCAGGACACAGAUCAGGCGAGUAUGAAAAGAGUAAAUCCUAAGGUAUCUUAAAUUCCGUGAGUGGCUCACGACGUAAAAGAAGACUGGGUCUUCAGAAAAGUUCCGUGACAAGGUCACGAGGUAAAAGAGGACCGGGUCCUCGUAAAAUAGAUUAAUGAUAGUUUGUCUGAUUGAAGCAGCGGCAGAGUGGAAACCUGACGGUGUCAACGUAAACUCUGUGAUCAGCUGGAGUAAAUCAGACUAUAUAAAUAAGUGUUAUUGUUUGUCGGUCUCUAAGUGAAUUUUAACUUCUUAGAGGAAGUCUCAGAGACUUUGUGUUGUGUGUCUGAUUGAGAUCAAAAUUGAGAGGUUGGUUUACUGAGACAGCUGUGUCCGCAGGAAACUAGUUCCUGUAGAAGCUUGGCACAGUCGAUGAUCUCUGUGAACGCUGAGACUGAUCGUUGAUCUCAAUCCUCGUAGUGAAGCAAAUUAAAGAACACUAAGGGUGAAAACCUUGAAGGUGAUUCCAAAUACAUGUCUAAAAGACAUUCUCAGUCGACUAUAAUAAUAUAUACAUAACUUACCAUAGUGGAAAAAGAAAUUUGGAUUUGAUGGAAAUUUGAAUAAAGUAGAAUUUUGUAAAAAAUUUGAUGGAUAAAAUAACUGUGAUAACUGAAACAGUUAAAAGAACGAGAUGGGGAAUAUAAUAAAGGGACCAGUUAAAAACCCAUGCAAUAUGCACAACAAGAUUUUGAAUUCAAAAUAAACACUAAAGGGGUGUAAAACUAUGGAACAAGUGAAGACAUAAAAAAUGAAAUGAUGAAUAUAAUAGAAACUAUAUAAUAGAGAUAAUUUAAUAAUUGUUUUAUAUUAAUAUAAAAAAUAAUCUAUAAUAGAACAAUAAUAAUAUAAUUGAUGUGCUUAAAUAUAAAGGCAUGCGUCAAUUAAAAUAUAGGGAAGAACAAGCUCAUUGAUUAAUUAGAUGGAACAUUGUGGAAGUGGUGCACGAAUAUUAACAUUCCUUAUAUAUAAUUAUAAUUCCUUAUUGUUAAAAUACUUUAUGUGGUGUAUGAAACUAACAAUCUAUGUUCAGAUAUUGAAUACAAAUCAAUGAAAUGAAGCAAAAGCAACAAUGUUUGUUGUAGACAGUGAAGAAUGCAAUUGGCAAGAUAACAGUGGACAGGGAGGACGUGACAGAAAAAGGUUUAGAGGACAUGGUGGACGACCACCUAGGGUGAGAAAAGUGAGAGUGACGUUGAUGAGGAAGAACUUCAAGUAAAAGUGUACUUAUGUGAAAGACUGCAUAAUUACCCACAAAUUAGCCUAACCAUAUUUGUCAAAAAGGAAAACCUGCACAUGAGGUUGUUAACAGAGUUUAUGAUUGGAAUCCAAAAUAAAAGUGUGAAUACCGUACAGCUCAAUGACGGUGUGAAAGAGAAUAGCUUUUACCUGGACAACCCAGACUGUGCCCACAGCCCACCUUAGAGGAAAUCAACAAUCAGCAACAGCGUGCUUUAAGUUUGUUAGAAAGACGCAGCCCAUACUGCACGGCUGAGGCCACAGACCAGCUGACUGUCCACAGAAUGAUGGGCGAGAGGCUGGUUGGGUUCCAGUACCAGUCUAGAUAACACUGAGGAGGGAGGUGAAUGCACACACACACACACACACACACACACACACACACACACACACACACACACACACACACACACACACACACACACACACACACACACACGGCUAACAGUAAUGAAGAAUGCUUGCUAUGCUUAGACUCAGAAAUGCUCACAGCUAACUGCAAUGAAGAACGCUUGCAACGCUUAGAUUCAGAAAUGAUCUGACAAUGUUUGUCAAAUGUAGUAAAAAAAAAAAAAAAAAGAGAAAAAAAAGCAGAUCUUCUCAGUUAUAGAUAUUAGUAAUGCCUUUUGUAGCAUCCCAGUUCCCCCAGAUUCACAAUUUUGGUUUGCGUUUACUUACAAAGGUCAGCAAUGCACGUACACCAGGCUACAAUAAGGUUACUGUGAAAGCCCGACUAUUUUCCUCACAGUGCAUGUCAGCAAAUCUUGCUAAAAUUACACCCCCACACAGUAGUCAGAUAUUACUGUACGCAGAUGAUGUUCUGGUAGCGUCACAGACUGAAGAAGAAAGCAGGAAAGAUACUGUAGCACUUCUUUCAUUUCGGCCAGAAAACAGUCACAAGGUCAGUAAAAACAAACUGCAACUGUUGAAGAAAGAACUUAAAUAUUUAGAACAAAGUGGACAAAAAUUGAUCCAAAUAGAGUUUUUAAAAGUAGAAAACCUAGACCAAAUUUACAGGAAAACCCAAUACCUGGUUCUGUAUUUCUCUUUGUGGAUGGACCAAGCACAAAGUCUGAAACUAGAAAAACGCAGAGUGGCUGUGAGGUUCUGACUGAUAGUGAGCCCUUGAAAGCAGAACCACUACCCCCACACUACAGAGCACCAGCAGCAGGAAUAAUUGCACUGACUGAGACAUGCAGACUCAGGUUGGAUAGUUACCAUCUAUACUGAUAGCAGAUACGCACAAUGAACUAUUCAUAUAUUUACCAGUCAAUGGGAAAAUAGAGGCAUGAUGACAUCAACGGGAAAGACUAUAAUGAAGGUUAUUUAAUGAAAAAUUUGUUAAAAGCUGUACAACUACCAGCAAAAAUAGCCAUUUGAUGCACUGCACUCUCAAAAGUGAAAAAAAUAAAUAAAUAAAUAAAUGCACUCAAAGGACAAACUGCUGAAAAGUUAUUACUAUGUUUGAAGAGGGGAACCUGUCCUACCAACAUCCCUCUAUAAAGGAGCAGCAAUAUUGAGACGUGGGCCUUGCCAUGUCUCAACGGGGGGGAUGGUAAAGAUAAUAAACAAAUACUAUGCUGCUUAUGGAUUUACAAAUUAUUCUAAAAAAAAUUUGUUCCUGAUGCAUCACAUGCGCUAAAUAUAACCCUCAAGGAAAUAUUUGACAAACCAAUUCAACAACCCUUCCAAUGCCUUCCAUAUGUCAAAGGUGUUAAGACAUCACAAGAAAUGUUUUUUUUUUUUCUAAAAAAUGCUUUUCAAGAUGUGCCUUGUCCACAGGAGGGACCACUGCAGGCUGGUGACUGGGUGUUCAUCAGAGUCAUAAAGCGCAAGAACUGGACCUCACCCCGAUGGGAAGGCCCACACAGAGUGACGCUGACAACACCUACCGCCUGCAAAGCCAAAGGCAUCUCCCGGUGGAUACACAACACACACUGCAAAAGACAACAGAUGGCUCCUACGUGAUGAUACCACAGCAGACGACUUCCAAGCGACAGCAAGAGAUCGACCUGAAGGAAAGUGAUCGGAUCUGGGGAUCAAACGUUCCCAUGGACAAAAAGCUCUGGACUACAGGCCAGAAAGUGGCACUAUCCCUAUUUCCAAGGUUGGGGGUCUGGCACAUGGACUGACAUUCUGAUGAAGAUUUUUGGACCGAUUCUACUGAUUCUUUUGGUUCUGAUGCUGAUUGUGUUGUGCAUAAUUCCCUGUUUGAGGGCCAUGAUCAUCAGGCUGGUGAAUCAAGGCCUUCUCAGGGUGUGCGCAGUCAUGCACUCCCGGCAAAUACACUAUACACCUUUGAAGCUCGAUAACUGUGAAGAGGAUCUCCACGAUGUCGACGGAAAUGGACGCUAAGCUGUAAAUAUUGUGCUUCUGUGCUUUUGACCCUGCCUACGAUGUUGUAACAUUUAUUCCAUGUUUUAUGAUGACUGCACUGAAAAUCAAAAGACGUUGUGCUGUUCUGAUGUAUGCACGAUUGUUUAAUGAAUGUUUCAAUGUUCAACAGGAGGGAAAUGUUGGAAAAAUACUGCAUUUAAUCAUUGAAACAUUGUUGGAAUUUAUUUUGCUGAUCUGCUCAAGCCUUGUUGGCUGUGCUAUAGCCUUGAAGUUUUCUCCCUUCUGCUCUGCAAGAAAUAGGGAGUACCGGUGUGUAGCAUCCUUAUCUGAUGAGCCCAAUGCUUGCUUUGUGCAGAGAAUAUUUCCUACGUACUGUGUGACUAUGCACCUCCCAGAAUGCAAUACAUAUUAUGAGCUGAAUCCUUGUCUUCUCUUCAGUGAGAGGAAGUUGCCUUUGCUGUAAACUGCUCACUCCUUGCAAGUAAAAUCCUGAAGAAGGUCUCAA